UACGUAGGGUGCGAGCGUUACUCGGAAUUACUGGGCGUAAAGCGUGCGUAGGUGGUUUGUUAAGUCUGCUGUGAAAGCCCCGGGCUCAACCUGGGAAUGGCAGUGGAUACUGGCAAGCUAGAGUGCGGUAGAGGGUAGUGGAAUUCCCGGUGUAGCGGUGAAAUGCGUAGAGAUCGGGAGGAACACCAGUGGCGAAGGCGGCUACCUGGACCAGCACUGACACUGAGGCACGAAAGCGUGGGGAGCAAACAGG
rnacentral:rRNA from 1 species